rnacentral:tRNA from 1 species
ACCCGGGCGGUGCGCGAAGGUGGCAUCUGCUACCUUGAUGAGGUAGUCGAGGCUCGUAAAGAUACGACGGUGGUUCUGCAUCCGCUUGCGGAUG